rnacentral:rRNA from 1 species
GACGAACGCCGGCGGCGUGCUUAACACAUGCAAGUCGAACGGAAAGGCCCUGCUUUUGUGGGGUGCUCGAGUGGCGAACGGGUGAGUAACACGUGAGUAACCUGCCCUUGACUUUGGGAUAACUUCAGGAAACUGGGGCUAAUACCGGAUAGGAGCUCCUGCUGAAUGGUGGGGGUUGGAAAGUUUCGGCGGUUGGGGAUGGACUCGCGGCUUAUCAGCUUGUUGGUGGGGUAGUGGCUUACCAAGGCUUUGACGGGUAGCCGGCCUGAGAGGGUGACCGGCCACAUUGGGACUGAGAUACGGCCCAGACUCCUACGGGAGGCAGCAGUGGGGAAUAUUGCACAAUGGGCGGAAGCCUGAUGCAGCAACGCCGCGUGCGGGAUGACGGCCUUCGGGUUGUAAACCGCUUUCGCCUGUGACGAAGCGUGAGUGACGGUAAUGGGUAAAGAAGCACCGGCUAACUACGUG